rnacentral:rRNA from 1 species
UACGGAGGGUGCGAGCGUUGUCCGGAAUCACUGGGCGUAAAGGGCGCGUAGGUGGCGCAGGAAGUCAACGGUGAAAGUUCGGGGCUCAACCCUGAAUCGGCCGUCGAUACUCCUGGGCUCGAGCACUGUAGAGGCAGAUGGAAUUCCGGGUGUAGCGGUGGAAUGCGUAGAGAUCCGGAAGAACACCGGUGGGCGAAGGCGGUCGUGCUGGG